ensembl:lncRNA
GACAAAUGCAGGGGACAGGUCACAAUGAUUUGGCAGAGCCUUUCCUUUGCUGUAUGUGUGCUGACUUUUUGGACUAUUGGACACGCUACAGGCUGUGGUGAUCGACAGAUCCGGAUAAAUGGACGGUGCUGCAAUCUGUGCCCCCCAGGUACUUAUAUGGCAGAGUUCUGCUCUGACAAAGAGCAAACUGUCUGCAUUUCUUGUCAAGAGGGACAUUUUUCAGAUCACUACUCUGUUUUUGACAGAUGUGAGCCAUGCCAGUCUUGCCAACAAGAAUAUUCUGAGAAAUGUACUCCGACCACAAAUGCGACCUGUUCUUGUCGCUCUGGUUUCCUGUGUUCCAACAGCAUCUGCUCAAUUUGUGAGGAAAACAAAUGUGUCACGGGUGAGAAACCGAAGAGGACAGAAAUUUCAUCAGGUGCAGGGGUGACAAAGUAUUCAUAUCACUGUGAGCCUUUAUGCCCUGAGAAUGCAUACUUUGAUGCAGGACGGAAUAGCUGCCAGUCAAUAAUACCGUGCAGUAUGUUGGAACGUGCCGAACGGUUUCCAGGGAACAAAACACACCCACCGGUUUGUGAUAAACCUGAUGUGCACAGAGACUCGUCCACUCAUGUGAUUCUUGGCAUCGGCUUUGUUUCACUCUCUGUCAGCCUCCUUCUGGUUCUGUCUUAUACCUGCAUGAAGAACCAAAGGCAGCACGCAAUAAAUAAAAGCCCUGUCCUAGCAGCCUCUACAAACAACAAUGAGUUUCAUCUGUCAAAGGAGGAAAGUGGACACCAGCUCAUCAGCCAGACAGAAUCCAAAGACAGCAACAGUUUGGACCAAGUGCACCUGGAAAAAGUCAUCUCUUUGUGACAAUAAGUCUAAGAUACCAUGGUCAGUGUGUUCAGCCACAAGCACAGUGAUAAUAUCUAUGUAAUCGCAUAAGUUAUGUAACUCAGUAUCAAUACAAAUGCAAACAUGGAGAUGGAGAAGUGUGCUAAGGUUGCAGUUGUGGACUUGUUGAAAAGUUUGAAAGGUUGAUCUCCAGUGGGAUUUUUCUCAGAAGGAAAGUGAAAGACCAGUACUUGUCCUUACGCCAUUAUCAUUGUGGAGGUGUCUUUAAGCAAAUUGUGUAACCUCAGUCUACUUGAGUGGAGCUUCUGAAUAGAUCACAUGAAGAUUAUGAGUGUGGAGACCAAGAAUAGUAAGUAGAAAUACUGAAGUGUAAUGUGGAACAAUUUUGGUGUCCACUGUCCACUGAACUACUAAAAAUGUGCCUCUAAAAAAAUCUUCUGGAAAAUCAAAUUUAUUUUAGAAAAACAUACAUGUUUAUAUUUGCAACAAUCCUACCUCUCUUUUUUUGUAAUGUGAUAAGGAUAAUUUGUGGCUGUGGGAGUUUGCUGUAGAUAACAGCUCCUGCCUUAAUGAAAGUAGAAUCACUCAAUACUAAUAGAAUUUUGGGGGAAAAUUUUAUAACAUGUCACUGUCCUGGAGUGUGACACAUCUGAUCCACCAACUCAUUUUGUGCUCACUGUGAAGUGCUUUAAUGUCUUUUUGGAAGAAGAAAUACUUGCUUUGUAUAUGUUAAACUGUCAACUAGAUGGUUAUUGACAGACACGUAUGAAUCCUUUUCUUCUACCAACAUGAGAAAACGAUACGAGUUUUCUCAUUAACAGGAGAAAUGCUUCUUCAAGAACCAUUUCAUUUUAUAAAUAGCUUAUUUGAACUAUAAGGCUCACACUUGAUUACAACAUCAUGUGAAUGAUUGUCAUUACGAUGAUUUACAAAAUAAAAUCAUUGCAUAAGACAUAUAAAUAUUUUCUUUUUUGAAGCUUCUUUUUGGUCUGAUUUGUUCCUUAAAAAAAGGAAUAAUUAAGUUUAGAGAAAUGUGAAACUUCUUGUAAUCAAAGGUGAGCAGAUUUUUUUUCUGAUUAAAAUGUGAUAUUUUCCAUAUUUAAAGAUUUUCAUGAUGAAAAGAAAUGCAACAGUGUUUAGGCGUCAGAUGAAAAUGAGUGUUUUGUUUUUUGUGGAAAUUAUUACAUAUAAUUAAAACUGUGUGAUUGGCACUGAUGUUGUCAUAGCAACAAGGAAAUAUUUUCAUUAUAACAACAUGCAAAAAUGAGAAAAGCUGUAAUCAAACCGUUAUAUGUGAUGUAUAUAGUUAUAUAUGCCAUGAACAGAGCUGAAAUGUUGAGGUUUUGAGUUGUACAUGCACUUUUUUUUUUUUUUUUUUUUUUUAAAGAAAAUGACUAAUCAGUAACAUUUGGUAAAUUACAGAAACAUUUCGUGCUGUGAAAACUGACACAUUGGACUGCUGGUUUAGCAUCGUCCCCUCAUAGCUAGAAGACCCCCUGUUCACGUCCUGGCCUGGGAUCUUUCUGUGUGGAGUUUUCAUGUUCUCCCUGUGCAGCGUGGGGUUUCACUGGGUUCUCCCCGAGUCCAAACACAUGCUGAGGUUUACUGGUGAUUCUAAAUUGUCCGUAGGUGUGAAUGCAAGUGUGCUUGGUUGCCUGUCUCUCUGUUUGUAGCCCUGUGAUAGACUGGCAACCUGUCCAGAGUGAACCCGCCCACGAGGAUUAAGUGGUCUACAGAUGAUGGAUGGAUGGAUGUACAUCAAAAAAAUUUGGCUAAAUGUUGUAAGGAAAGAUGAUUUUGGUGUAUUAAAAACAACAUAGCUGAUGUUGUAAUUGUGGAUUUUGCAAUAUUUACAAAAAUGUAACAGAUAUAGUCCUCUUAUUAAAUGCUAUGAACCUGUUGUAUUAAAAGGUGAGUUGUUUUAUAUCGAUUAAAAUGUGAUAAUGUCUUUGUUUAA